UGGUACUUCCUUCUCAUUUUCGAAUUGCUUUCUUUAAUAUUCGCUUCAAUUAUUCUUUUCAGUUGGAGGCUUGGUGCGCUGCUUCUCUGUGCAAGUUCUUCUUUAUGAGUUACUCCGCGCUAAUCCACCCUGUAAUUAUUGCCAUAGAUAUUAACAAUCAAAUACAAAGUUUAAUAUAAGUUCAAAAAUUCAUAGCUAUGUAAUCUAACCAUUGAUAUUUAUUUACUUAUAUUUUUUUUAAAAGUUUAUUAUACAUUCAUUUGAAAUUAUUUAAUAUAAUAUCAAAUAGUUUUAAAAUUUUAUAACAAUUGGUAGAGUCAAUCUACUUAAUAAGAACUUUUGAUUUGACAGUUAGAUUAAUGAAAUUCAUUGCUUAUAAUAUAAUGAGUUAUUAAGCGGAGUAAUUCGUGUCAGAGUUACUCCUGGAGUCAACGGAUCCCCAGUCAUAUACUCGCACACACACAAUUGAUUGUGAUUGCUUGAUAGUGUUAUAAGUUUACACUGAAAAUUUAUCAAAAUCAAACUUAUCGUUUUUAACUUAAUGUCGUUAUGAUAAAUUUCUAUUCCAGAUCAUUAUCUAUUACUUAUUAGAAAUUUGUGCUUUGCUCUCCUUUAUUUAAUUAAGAUGUCACACUUUCCAAACUCGUGUUGCAGCAAUAUGGAUUACUAGUUCUAGUUGGUUUAAAAUUUGAUAUGGUUUUAUCUGCUAGAAAAUGAAAUUCAAUUAUGUAUUGAUUGUUGUGUUUUUUGGGUGUGUUUUUGCUGAAAUAACUGUGCAGCUGUUCAGAAAGAAAGAAUGGAAGCAGAGGAUAUGUAUGUGUUAUCCGACAAUGGGUCAGUUUUGUCUGCCCCAUCUCCCAAACCUUACCCACAUAAGCCUCCCAAGUGUACUGAUUGUGAUCAACUUUUCAUGAAGGUAACUUUGGUUUCACGUUAUAGUAAUUACUGUAUUUUCUGGGUUAUUAAGAGUUUGUAUGCUCAUUAUUCUUGAGAUUUCAAAAUACUAUGUUACAUAUUGAAGUUAUGAACUGAGAGUGAUGAUGAAUUAUAAAUCUUGAAUUCAUUGUAUUGAAUGAACCAUUACAACAGAGAAGAGAUUAUAUAGUACCCGAAGUUAACUCAUAAGUUAGCUUCUUCAGAAACUGAUAAGUUAGCAACAAUCUAGCUAACUAUGGCUACUAUUAGUAACUAUAUUAAACAUACUUAAACUGACAUAAUGGUAAUGCCAUGUGGCAUGAUCCACUACCUGGUAUACAACCUUAGCAUUUUAAGAGAUGGUUUUAUAUGUACAAUUUAGGUUUUUCUUGAAUGGUUGGAUAUUUGGACUUAGGAUGGUAUUAGUUAACAGUAAGCCUGUAACAUUCAGUUGACAAAUGCUUUGCUGUACACUAAUUACUAGACUCACAACUGGUAAAUGCUAUAAUAUCUAUAUAUUUUCACUUAUUAUAAGAUAUAACUAUUAUUUGGUUAUUGAAUGGUAUGGCUGUGAAAUAUUUAUAUGGAUAGUUCUUUUGAGGUCAAAAUGUGUGUACUAUUGACUGACCUUAGAAACUCACAAUUCUUAUGUUUUCUUUCUUUUCUUGCAUAAAUUAGCAAUUGAUAUACGUUUCUUUCGCUUCCCUUAUAGGCAUAUGAAAAGCGUGAUGCUGGGGCUAUUAUCCAUAGUCAUGGGAUGGAAUCUUGUCUUGUAACAAUGAUCAAUCCAUUUUCAAAGGAAUUUCGAGUAAGUACUUGUACAUGGAUGUCAUUUGGUUUUGCAAUCUUUUGAUGCCUUGAGAAAGAUGGAAAUUCAAAUUGAUGAUACACAAUUAUUAAUUGCUAUUUGAUCUUUGAGUGCGUUUUGAGAGAUAAUAGAACAUGAAGCUGAAUGCAAAAAAUAUUAUAUUUGCUUGAGCAUAAGACUAUUUGUGAAACGCUAACUUCCGGUCAGGCAAACAUCUAUGAAUGAGGAAGAGCCUCUUUAUCGAACUUAAGGAAAUUUUUUUAUUUUGGUUACUUAAAGAAUUGAAAAGGAGAAAAUAUGCAAGUUCCUAAUAAUAUGAUCUGUAAUGACAUGAGAAUGAGACAUCCUUCUUGGAGGUAUAACUAGUUCUGUAGUUGUGUUAUCCUUUUGUUUUGAAAGUCUCUCUCCAGUCUCCAAAACUCAAGUUUUUAGGGGAAAAAAAAUUGUAUGCCAUUAAAAAGUAGUGAAAUAGUUUAAAAACUGGAGAAAGUCUAAACUAGAGAUAUUGACAUGUGAUGAACAUUUUGCUGAUCAUCUCUGUCCUCUUUGAAUAUGAUUACUGGCUAUUUUCUCAAUCUAAGUAACUUUCUUUCUUGAAAAUUUUGGCUUCUGUCUUGUGCAAAGAGGAAUUUGUGCGCACAGUUGGAAAAUUUAGAUCCGCUUCUAGUGCUGAAAAAAUUAGGAAGGACAUUUGGUUGGGUGGGUGGGAUUGGGAUAAGGCAGUUAUAUGUUCUGUGUUCAUAGAAAUACUUUUAAACACAAACAAUUUUGAAUGAAGAAUUUUCAUAUUUUCUUUGGGAGAGGGUGAAAUGAGAUGGCACCUGCCAACCUUCUUCCUUGUGGCUUUGUCAAGUUGUUUGUUGUUAUUUUUUCCUGAUCAAGCAUAAGAUGGUGAUUUUUUUUGUUGUUACAGCUUAUUAUAUAUUGCUCUGAGAAAACUAAACAUAAUUUUGUCUUUUGAAAUGGUUAACACACCUCCUUCACAUAUUAUAUCUUGCUCUGUGCUUUUGUGUCCUCUUCCUAUUCUGAUUGGAUUCUGGCCGUCUUCACAAUUUCAGAUUACUCACAUGGAGAUGAUAAAAGGGAUCAAGGGGCAUGGUUAUUAUGAUGAACUAGUGGUCCCAAUUAUUGACAACACGGCCCAUGAACAUCAACUCACAGAAUCUUUUACUAAAGCAGUAUGUUUCUUUCUAAUGGUUCUGCAUACAUCUUACAUAUAUGUUCGAAACUCUAAUUUUCAUGAACAUUUUUUCACAUCAUGUGCAGUAUAGCUUGAUUGUUCUAUUUGUUCACAAUUUGUAGAUUGAAGACUACCCAAAAGCAACAGCAGUGCUUGUUCGUAACCAUGGGAUAUUUGUUUGGGGAGACUCGUGGAUCAGUGCUAAAACUCAGGUUUUUGAUCUCCACAAUCCCCAAGAUUCCAUUUUAUAUAAGAUGCCUGUUUGUGCGCUCUGCAUGGAGUAACCAUAAAAUAUAAUUUUAUGAGAAAAUCUAAGAUACUUGAGAUUAUAAAUUAAUGUUACGAGAUAUAUUCUAACAAUGAUGAGGCUCUUUGGUAAACUGAUGAUUUUUCUUCCAGUCCGAGUGCUACCAUUACCUCUUCGAUGCUGCUAUUAAACUUCACCAAAUGGGAUUGGACUGGUCAACUCCAAAUCAUGGUCCGAUACAAAGUGCACGAAGGGGUUUAAGUAUUGCUGGGGAGUCAAAUAUCUCCGCAAAGGCAAGAAAAGAUAAUGGUGACAUUGAUCCACAUCCAGUGAGUUCAUAUAACCCUCCCCCAUUUUUUUUUUUAAAGCUUUUGAUCAAAAAUUAGUAUCUAAAUUUGCUUAAAUUUCUGAACCUGAGAUCCUCUAUCCCCAUCAGACUGUCUUAUAGUUUCAAAUUAAAUUUAAUAAUUUCAAUUUAGAUUGUUAAUUAUCCUCUCUAUUUGGAUUGCAGCGUUGCAUUGUUCUUGACAUUGAAGGAACUACUACUCCCAUAUCAUUUGUUUCAGAGGUUCUCUUUCCGUAUGCCCGUGAUAAUGUUGGGAGGCAUCUUUCUGCAACAUAUGAUACCGCUGAAACUAAAGCCGAUAUCAAGUUGCUUCGCUCCCAAGUAAGACUUUAUUUGGCUGUAUGGUUACGGCAUUUAUAUUCCUUCAGUUGAAUUAUAUGGUAGGUCUUGAAUGGUAGCAGUCUCGUUAUGUGGAAUGUUAUCCCAUAUUUGACACUGGAAUGAUGUGUUAGAGAUGAGAAUUACAUUUCAGUUUUGUAAUUUGAAGUACAAACAUCCAUAAAUAUUAAAAUCACUAAUGACAAAAGUUGUUUACCAUGUUUAUAUUAUUCAAAUUUUCUUCAAUUUAUUAUAAUUUAUACUUGUUUUGGGAUUCAUUAAAGGAUAAAGUGAAAUAAAAAUGUUCCAUUCGAACAUAAGAGUAAAGAGAUAAAGAAGAAAGUAGGGUGCUGCACUGGCUCUCGAAAGGUGGUGCAUUGUUAUAAGUUCCCUUUUGGAGUGUCUCACCUAAAAAGCGAGGCUUAUUAAUAUUAGGUUUUUACAUUGAGCCUACCUCAUCCAUACAAAAUCGACUUGUAAGGUGAGGGGUUCCACUCUAUAAGCUCAUUUCAGUCCUUAUCUCUAUUCAAUAUGGGACUUGAGUUUUUCCCAAUACUCCACACCCAACAAAAUUGAGCUUGGUGCACAGAUAUAAAUGAUGGGUGGUCCCAUGGAUAGGAUCUGAUGCCAUAUUAGGUUUUUAUAUUGAGCCUAACUCAUUCUUACAAAACCGGCUUGUAAGGUGAAGGUUGUGACUCUUUACAAAUUCAUUUCAAGCCUUAUCUCUAUUAAAUAUGGGACUUGAGUCUUUUUCGGUAACAAGUUAGGUAGUUCUCCCACCUAGUAAGCUAGUAUCUUGGGAUAAACUUUCCUUAUCAGUUUAACAAAACAUUCUUUUGUUUUCAUUUGUAGUUACAAAAAUCUCCUUGUUUUUAGUUUGUUAUGUCUUUUCAAAGUUUUAUAUGGAAGCAAAAACAAUAAAAUAAUGUGUCAUUUUUGUUAUUAUUAGUGAAAUUAGCUAAGGGAAACAUUUUCUUUUUCUCGUUUUUAUAAAAUAUAAUUUCAUUUAGAGUAAAUUACACUCCCCUCCCCUCAAAGAUGCUUGAAUUGCACUCCCCUCCCCUCUUAUGUUAAAAUAUACACUCCCCUCCCUUGAAAAGGAAAAUUUAUACCCCCCUCCCCUAUAAGAUGCUUGAAUUACAACCCCCUCCCUUAAUAAUUAAAUAUGGACUACACUUUAAUCUAUUUUAACAUAAAUAAAUAUUUUUAUAAUAUAUAUUAAUUUUGAAUCACCAUUUAAAAAAUAUAAAUUCGUUUCUUUAUAAUCUAAAUGUCAAUGACAAUUAAAUUUAAAUAUUUUGUAAUUAAUUUUAUAAUUACAGUACAAAAUUCACUUUUAAAUAACCAUACUUAAUCGACUUUAGUAAUUUUUCACAUAUUUUAAUUUUAUUUUGGGUUGUUUCAUAUUUUAUAAUAGGGUUUAAAACUAUAUGUUAAUGAAAUUGUGAAUAAAAAAUAGAGAAAGAUAUGUAUUCAAAGUUUGAUUAUAUUAAAAUGAACCCGCAAUGCUAUUUUUCUUUGAAGUGUGCUCGAUUAUUUUUUUUCUAGAUUAUUAGAAAUAAAAAAAAAAUUAUUGAGGGACUAAAGCGUAGAUUUUAACUUAAGAGGGGAGGGGAAUGUAAUUCAAGCUUCUCUCAAGGGAGGGGAGUGAAAUAUUUUCUAAUAUGUUUUGAAUAAGAGGGGAGGGGAGUGUAUAUUUUAACAUAAGAGGGGAGAGGAGUGUAGUUCAAGUAUCUUUGAGGGGAGGGGAGUGUAAUUUACUCUUUCAUUUAUAAUCACAAGUCUUAUCUUGCUUUCAUCUUGAUUCCUUCAUUUUGAAUUUAUGUUUAUAAAGAAAUUCGUGAAAACUAGGUAUGAGUUAUGACUUAUGGAGAUUCCCUAAAGUUUCAUAUGUGAACUAUAUGGUAAUAGUAGCGAAUCCAGGGACCAGCCCACUUUCCUUAGUGCAGUUUGUGUCCCAACAAAAGAAUAACAAUCUUUUGCCGAUUGAGAUGUGGAGAUCUUAUUUAUAUGUUGCAUUUAGAUAAUCUAGUGGUUGACUUCUCUUCUGUUCUGAUACCAGGUUGAAAGUGACCUUGAACAAGGGAUUGCAGGUGCUGUGCCUAUCCCCCCAGAUGAUGCUGGGAAAGAUGAAGUUAUUGCUGCUAUAGUGGCUAAUGUGGAUGCUAUGAUCAAAGCGGAUAGAAAGAUCACUGCCUUAAAAGAGUUGCAGGUAGUUAAGCCUAAUGCUGCAGACUUCUUCUAUCUGUUGAAUUCAUAUCUUUUAUAUUACUGACAACUGGCUUUGCAGGGUCAUAUAUGGCAAACGGGUUAUGCGAAUAAUGAAUUGGAGGGAAUAGUUUUUGAUGAUGUACCCGAAGCUCUGGAAAAGUGGAAUGCCUUGGGCAUAAAGGUUGUCUAAUUUACUGAUUAUCAGCUCUAUACCUCUUUUCGGUUCCUUUGUUUGCUUCCUAAAGGAUUGUUGCUUUUUUAUUCUUCAUGUAUUUUGACCCUAGGCAUCUUUGUUGCAUACGUAAGAUGCCAAUAUUUGGUACAAUGGUAUAAGAUGACCAUAGGUUGAUAUUCCCUCUAUUAGCUAAAGGGAAUAACUUGUGUGGCUGUGUGAGUAUAUGAUACCUUUCCCUACCAUUAGAAUGUAACCAUUUUAUUUGAAUUUCCAUAUAUAUUGUCUUACGUAUACUCUUUCAAUGUUCAAUCUCUUCAUCCAUUGAUUUGGUCUUACCUUAGGUGUCUACAGUGGGACCCUGUGUUUGGAUGUCCCCACCCAACCAAAAUUCCUUUGUAACAUAUGCUUAACACUGUGAGCCACCCAUUACAUCCUUAUCUCCUUUAUCCUACCAUAAUACCAUUCUUUUUCCCUUUGUGUCACAUGUUGACUCACUCAUGGACCCACUAUAUUGGCAUCACAUGACUACUAAUUUACUAUCAAAGAAUACGCAUAAAGAAUUGGCCUGAAGGGACAUUCCAGCAAUUAUAACACAAGACAUAAAUACCAUACAGUAUAUACUUAUAAAUAUGGUAAAACUAUAAAAUGACACAUGAUUAUAAUACCUAUUUAGCGUACAGUUAAUAUUAAUAUAGAAUACAAAUUCAAAUAGAUCUCUGUCAUACUUUUUAAUGUAAAAAUACUCAACUCCUCUCAUUCGGAGUUUGUUGAGGGUAAAGCAGUUGUUAUUUUUAGUUGCGCAAGAAUGAAACAACUUGAGCAAUCACAUCACAUUUUAUAUGCAGUGUUUAUCAAGUGUUUUGAGAGCAUAUUUUCUUGUAUUUCAAUUGCUUUUUCUGAUCUAAAUGCGACAGGUGUACAUAUAUUCUAGCGGCAGCAGGUUGGCGCAAAGGCUAAUAUUUGGAAAAACAAACUAUGGGGACCUAAGAAAGUUUCUAUCUGGGUUUUUUGACACCACAGUGGGGUAAUGCCGAUAUUGAUGCUUCCCUUUGAUGAUUGUCUUAAGUUGCCUUGUAUUCACUCAAAACUCUUUUGUAGGAACAAAAAAGAGACACAAAGUUAUGUUGAAAUUUCUCAGUCACUUGGUGUUGAUAAGCCAUCGGAUAUUUUAUUUGUCACUGAUGUAUAUCAAGAAGCCACAGCUGCAAAGGGAGCAGGUAUGAGCAUUUUUUUUUUCCCCCCGAAUCUUAACCCAUCAUUUUAUUGAGUUAAAUUUUAUCCAUCAGUUAUAAAACUUGUUACAUUUUCUAUAAGCCUAAAGUUUCACAUGAUUGUAGUAAUUAAUUAAUUUUUUUACUUGCAGUGAAGACAAUAUGAAUUUAGUCCAUUAUUUAAACUUAAAGUUUAAAUUAUUUUAACUUAUAGUAAACAAGAAAAUGUCAUAUUAUGAUUCACAUAAAAUAGAAAAUCAACAUAAAAUUUGGCUUAGUAAAUACAAUAGUCUUUUUGAACUUCAUCCACUUGUAUACCAAUUGCACCUAGGCACCAUCUCUAGUCAAUACAGAACAUGGUUUUUUUCCAAUUCGCCUUCUCACACUCAGCACUUAUGAGCUUGGUCAGUGGCCCGGCAAUGAAACUAGGAUAGCCAUAUUAGAUUUUGAGCCUAGUUCAACCUUACAGAAACGGCUUUUAAAGGGAGCUGUUCCCAAGCUUUAAGCCUUGAUUAGGUAGUAUCUGUAGGGGGUUUUCACAAAAGUUUGCAUGUCUUUUGGGACUAACUGCCGGCCAAAAUUAAGAUUUACCACCCUGCAAACAAGCAAUUGGUGUGAAUGAAACCCUCCAAUUGGUAUGCUAGAGCAAUUUAUGGUCUUCUCUUGAGAUUUCAAUUUAUAUGAACUAAAGAAAAAACUGCUUAUUUCGUCUCUGCGUCAAUUUGUCGACAAUUGUCUAUGUUUUCAGGUUUGGAGGUGAUAAUUUCUAUUCGACCCGGAAAUGGACCUCUCCCUGGAAGCCAUGGGUUCAAGACAGUUAAGUCCUUCUCGGAUAUCUAAGAGUAGUUGCAGUCAUCUUUGAUGAUAUUAAACGUUAUGAUAAUUAAGGACAUUGUAACGUUUACUUCUUAAUAUGAAAUAAUGUAUUUCAAAUCUCAACAAGUUUCAGAUAUAACUUGCCUCUUUUCGAAAACAAAAUGUAAAUAUGGUUAUGUUGCAUGCAUUCUCAUUAGCAUUAUUAUAUAAGGCACAUUCUAGUGCAGAUGAGGCAUAUUCUUAGUUGUCAAACAAAAUUUUACUUGUGAAUCAUGAGUCAAAAAGACUUGUUAGAUCGUUGAAGACUUGUCAUGGAUAUGUGCUAACUGUAAGAAAUUUUUCUCGAAUUGUAAACUGUCAAAAAACUGUUAUUUUUUUUUUUUUAAAUCAAUAUUUAAAAUUCCUUCUAAUCUUUUAUUACUUAUGAUAAUUUUUCUCUGCCGAUGAUGUCAAUUAUUACUCUUAAUGACUUCAUUUUGUUAACAUAUUAGAAUAGUUUAUUUUGAUUAUGGCUUAAUCUUUCUAAAAUUAGUUUGAUUUAGUCAUACUCUUUUUAAAAAAAUAAUAAUGUAAUAGUCAAACUUUAGUCAAGUCCAAACAUCUUCUCUGCAUAAAAAUCAUCGCCUUAUCAUUCCACAUACUUCCUCCGUUCCUAAAUAUAAGCAAAUUUUACUUUUUAGGUUUAUUCAAUUAAUGAUGUAUGUAGUACAUAAUACACUUCUUUUUUUUGAGAAAAAUACAUUUGAUAUGACGAAAAGGAUUUUUUUUCAUUGAAUUUUCAUCUGAGGUCGUUGCAAUAAAAUUGUGAUUAUUUUUUGCUUAUCCUAAAACUGUAUGAAUGAGAUUAAUGAUCCUUUUUUUUUUGUUUUGAAAAAACAAGAUAAAAUUCCAAAAUAAGAUAUUUUCAACGUAUGGUAUUCAUUUCCAAAAUGAACAGUGCUAUUUUUACAAAAGUUUUACCAGCAAAAAGCUAUUUUAGCCUUUGAAUGUGCGCGAGACGUUACUAUGAUCACGAUCCUUAAAUAUAUCAAAAUUGCUAAUAUAUCCAUAAUUUCUCUUUGGUUGGUAAUUUUAUAGAUUAAAUUGACCAAUAAAAAUACAUUCGAAACUAAAUUGAUAUUCUAAAUAUAAAUUUGAUGACCAAUACGACUAAUAAAAAAGACACGUGCGUACGCUUUGCAAUUUUUACGCAUUCAAAGAUUAUAAUGACAGAAUCUUACCUAUUCAAGGACCAAAAUAUCCAUUUACCCAAAUUUGACAUCCCUGUUACUCUCUUAGUAUUGCAUUAUCCUGGUUAGAUUGAGAUUACUACAUAGCAUAUGUAUAGACCUUUUGUUCAUGCAUAGUAUGGUGUAUCAUUGAAAUCAACAAUAUUGCGGUAAGUAGAUAUAAUUCGUUGGACAAAAAUCAAAUGACUCAUGUAGUGACUUUAGCAAAUUGAAUACUCAAAAUCUAAACUAUUUGAUAUUCACAAAUGGCUGAGAUUAUUGACCAAAGUGAUAGCUUAAUGUAUCAAAGUUAUUCAAAACCAUUUCCAUAGAAAAUAUACACCAUUUUAAGAAUAUUGUUAUUUUUGCUAAAAUAGAAAGAGAGAAUAUUGUUAUUUAUGCAUAUGACUGUUUCUCUUCAGCCGUUUAUCUUGAACUUUGAAGGAGUUAUUUUAUGGGGCAUUAAAUCAUAAAGAGUCGAAGAUGUACACUCAACAAAAGUUUUAACUAUUAUAUAUAAAAAAAAAAAAAUCAACUAUUCAAACACACCAAAACAAAGUCAUUGUCAAAUUAAAAUAGGUACCUUAAAAGCAUUUCAUCCAUUGACUAGUGUAGCAUGUUGUAUCUUGGAACAAAACAACCCUCCAAAACAUUGUUAUCACAACCCAACUUUCCUCAAGACUUGUUUGAUUCUCCAUUUUUUUCACAUUUCCCUUUUUUCUACUUUCAUCAAUAAAUUAUUUAAAAAGAAAAAUCUAUUAUUUUUUUCAUAUCUACCUAUUUCCACAUAUAACAUAACAUGGAGUAGCAAACAACAUGCCUAAUCUCAAGUAAACAAUUUAGCUUGAUGCAUAUGUAUUCAUUAUAAAGUGCUUAUUAUAUUUGCUUGAAUAAGGAAGUGGUCAUAGUAACAUGGUCUUUUCAUAAACCACCUAAUUAGCUCCCAUCUUUGUCAAAAAAAUGUCUAAGAUGCCAAUAAAUAUCUACAUGGAUUUAGAUUUGGUGCAUUAACUGCAUCACACGGUUUUUCGAUCUCAACCACCUGAUCUUAAAUUAAUGUCCGAGAUCGUUUAAAACUGAUUUGUUAUUGUGUAAUUUAAACCCUCCGAUUUCAUAUGAACGGCCAAUAUCAUUUACCGCAUGAAAUCACGUGUUUUUUCCACUAGUGUUAAUCUAGAUCCUAUAUAUAGAAGAUAUUUGAACAUUGAAGUUGCAUAAAAACUAGAAAAAAAGAAAAAGAUAUUGGCGGUUUUGUUGUUCAAUGCAUCACUAGCAAUAGGGACCAACCAAGAUGUACCUAAAUGACAAAGCAAAGUCUAAAAAGGAGGAAGAAAAAGAAAAAGGGUAGUGGUCUUCACGUUUUCUCUGCUUUUGUAAUUUACAUUUUGUUUCUUUUUAGCCUCACUUUCUCUUAGCAAGAUCAUUGUAAACAAAAGUCCCACUUUCUCUCUAUCUUAUCUUUCUCUCUUUGUCAUUUUGUCAACCCUACUAUGCUUCUCAUUCAAUCUUAGAAAAUUCAAAUAAUGAACAUAGAGAGUGAAAAAUGAAAACAAGAGAAAAGAAACAUUUUUGGCUGGUUCAAGUUUAUAAAAUAUAUAAAUUGUUGCUAAUCCCAUUCAACAUUUAUUACUAUGUUGAUUAAAG
rnacentral:lncRNA from 1 species